rnacentral:lncRNA from 1 species
AAGGUAAAUGCUAUCGUUGCCUUCAACCAGGCCAUAAAGUGGCAGAUUGCAGGGAUCCGCUUCGUUGUUGGGUUUGCAAAAGAUUCGGCCAUCUCUCUUCAGCCUGCAGAGAGCGUCGCUAUAAAUUCCAGCAAUCAGAGCAGCUUUCACCACCUCUUUCGCACCCACCUUCACCACCACUGCUCUCCUCCUCAGCCUUCCCCCCCCCCCCUCACCACCUCCACUGCCCCGACCUCCAUGGCUUCAGUCCCCAGUGGUCUGGUCUCUCGACCAGAUUUUGGUAGCUGCAUGGUGGCGGCGACAAGCGAGAUGGAAAGACUGAAGCAACUCUUCACGGCAGGAUCAGUGGUGACUUGGUCAGAUGAGGGCCAGAAGGUGGAAAUCGGCACCUUUGCCGAUGACAUCCGCUCGGCUUUCCACAUCCAUCGUUCCGACAUUCAGAUCACAAAAUUCCAUCCAGUAGAUUUCUUCCUCACUUUCGUUAAUCAUAGCGAUCAUGAGGAGGUUCUACAAGAACCAAGAUUGGUGACCCGAAGCGGAAGAGACCUCUUCUCUCGACAGGGUCGGGUCUUCAUGUGGCACUACGGAGUGCCUGAUGAUGUCACCCGGAUGAGGUCGAUGGCUCACCCAAUUCAAGCCUGCAGAACCCUUCCGGCGCCAGAGAGAAGGUCUGAUGAUGAAGACGACCACGAGCAGCGUUCAAGAAGGAGGCAUAGAAGUCGCUCUCUUUGGAACCGCUUAGGCGGUCAUUCGUCAAGCAAAAGCAGAGAGCCUGGUCUUGACAACCGGAGUUCAUACAAUCAAGAGACAAGGGGAAGACAGAGAGAACGAGCUGCUGACAUCAAUAGAAGUAGAAGCCGACAUCUGUCCAGGUCGGUCGAACCUGGAGAAACAAGAAUCAGGCGUCAAUCGGCGACACCUCCGCAUCUCUCUGACCCUGCUCCAGCAGACAAG